UAGAUUGAAGCCAGUUGUUUUGGGGCGAUUAGCUGUUAACUAAUUUCUCGCAGGGUUGGAGCCUGUCAGUCUAG